GACGAACGCUGGCGGCGUGCUUAACACAUGCAAGUCGAACGGUAAGGCCUUUCGGGGUCCACGAGUGGCGAACGGGUGAGUAACACGUGGGUGAUCUGCCCUGCACUUCGGGAUAAGCCCGGGAAACUGGGUCUAAUACCGGAUAGGACUGCGCGGUGCAUGCCGUGUGGUGGAAAGAUUUAUCGGUGCAGGAUGGGCCCGCGGCCUAUCAGCUUGUUGGUGGGGUAAUGGCCUACCAAGGCGACGACGGGUAGCCGGCCUGAGAGGGCGACCGGCCACACGGGGACUGAGACACGGCCCAGACCCCUACGGGAGGCAGGAGUGGGGAAUAUUGCACAAUGGGCGCAAGCCUGAUGCAGCGACGCCGGGGGGGGGAUGACGGCCUUCGGGUUGUAAACCUCUUUCAGCAGGGACGAAGGGGGAGGGACGGUACCUGCAGAAGAAGCACCGGCCAACUACGU
rnacentral:rRNA from 1 species